rnacentral:pre_miRNA from 1 species
GGAAUACUCCCUCUGUCCCAAAAUUCUUGUCUUAGAUUUAUCUAGAUACGUAUGUACCUAAUACUAAAACGUGACUUGAUACAUUUGUAUUUAGACAAAUCGAAGACAAGAAUUUUGGGACGGAGGGAGUACAGC